rnacentral:rRNA from 1 species
CAAUAGCGUAUAUUAAAGUUGUUGCAGUUAAAAAGCUCGUAGUUGGGUUUCUGGGAGGGUGCCAAUGUCCGCCGACGUGCGUGCGCAGCGGCGCCCUUCCAUCCUUCUGUUAACGCCUCUUGGCAUUCAUUUGCUGGUGGCGGGCUCAGAUAUUUUACCUUGAGAAAAUUAGAGUGUUUCAGGCAGGCUAGGCCGGAAUACAUUAGCAUGGAAUAAUGGAAUAGGACUACGGUCUCUUUGUUGGUUUGAGGGACUGCAGUAAUGAUUAAUAGGGAUAGUUGGGGGCAUUAGUAUUUAAUUGUCAGAGGUGGAAUUCUCGGAUUUGUUAAAGACUAACUUAUGCGAAAGCAUUUGCCAAGGAUGUUUUCAUUAA